ACACCACUCUGGAGAGUCUCACAGAAGUGAGCGCCGAAGGUGCAGGGGCGGUCAUGUAUGCCGCCUGGUCUCUCAGGCAAAAGGACAGAGC
rnacentral:ncRNA from 1 species